rnacentral:rRNA from 1 species
UACGUAGGGUGCAAGCGUUUGUCCGGAAAUUAUUGGGCGUAAAGAGCUCGUAGGCGGUUUGUCGCCGUCUGGCUGUGAAAACUCGGGGCUUAACCCCGGGCCUGCAGUGGGUACGGGCAGACUAGAGUGCGGUAGGGGAGAACUGGAAUUCCUGGUGUAGCGGUGAAAUGCGCAGAUAUCAGGAGGAACACCGGUGGCGAAGGCGGGUCUCUGGGCCGUAACUGAACGCUGGAGGAAGCGAAAGCCGUGGGGAGCGAACAGGA